AUCUAGUUGAAGAGUCCCAAAUAGAAUGAAACGCGAGUCAAACUGGAU
rfam:Schistosoma mattheei strain Denwood, Zambia genome assembly, scaffold: SMTD_scaffold0003905